CAUUUGAAACCUUCUCUGCAUUUCUUCCUCCUCCUUCUCUUUCCCUUUCAGUCGCUCCACAUGUUCUCCCUUGCUGUAUAUCGGCUUUGCACCAUUUAAGUCAAUGGAGCUAUGCUAAUUUACAUCAGCUGAGGGUCUGGUCCAUAGUUGCUGGCCUUCCAGAGACCUGGUGCAGGACAUGCAGGUUGCCAGCAGUGGACCCGGCAGGGAAAGGCCUGGGCCUGCUGGUGUUGCCCCACAUCACACUCUGGUUUGCAUGUAGCCACGAGGGCCUUCCUGAUGGAAAAAAUAAAAUGAUGUACAUUUAUUUUAAAAAGACAAACUCUAUGGAACACUGAGGCUGAAGUGCUGCUUCCUUAUUGGUUACUGAACCUGUCAGUGAUUCCUAGGAAGAGACGAAUACUGUUAACAGAACCCUGUAUCCACGGUAACAUGUGACUGAAACGUUCCGGCAGAAGGUAACUUCUUUGAUUUUUAUUUCUUAUCAUUUGAUUUAUUUCCCUGGAGUGACCCAUGGCACUGGCACUCAAUGACUGGCAGGGAGGGUGGAUGGUCAGGGAUCAAGUCUGG
rnacentral:lncRNA from 1 species